CCUGCCCCAUCUCGUCCUCUCUCUUUCCAUCCAUCCUGUCUCAUCACGGAUGGAGAACCCAUGUUUGACUGAACUGGAACACCAGGUUCAUGGUCAUUGAGCCCCUUGUCCUGAUCAUUUUCCACGCAAGGGCUACUGCCUUCCUUUGCUGUUCACCUGAGUUGGCAACUCUGCCAAGUGUGGUGUACCCAACCAUCCUGAAAUUUCACUCGGGGUUCCUUAAAGGGAAUGAAGCCGUGGAGGCACCAGCUGGCAACGGGCAUGUGAAUCACAGUUUCACAGAAGUAUUGGUGAUACACCACUUCCCUGCCAGGAUGAAAUAGGAGACCUUAAGAAACAAAACAAAUGUCCACAUUCCAUUUCAAUGAAAAAUAAAAGGUCAAUGGCUAAGCUUAACACUAGCAAAAGUAUUUCUCUACUCUGGACAACAAGUAUAUAUAAACACUGAUAACAGCAAAAAGGAAAUGGAGGCAUCGUCAAGACUCCGAGAACAGAAGGAAAAGGAGCUGUACUCAAUGCGCUGGAAGGUGCCACUAAACACGGUUGUUGCUGUUAUUGAGUCACUGAGUAUUCUCUGCGACCCCAGGGACUACAGCCU